rnacentral:rRNA from 1 species
AUUGAACGCUGGCGGCAUGCUUUACACAUGCAAGUCGAACGGUAACAGGCCGCAAGGUGCUGACGAGUGGCGAACGGGUGAGUAAUGCAUCGGAACGUGCCCAGUCGUGGGGGAUAACGCAGCGAAAGCUGCGCUAAUACCGCAUACGAUCUAUGGAUGAAAGCGGGGGACCGUAAGGCCUCGCGCGAUUGGAGCGGGCGAUGUCAGAUUAGGUAGUUGGUGGGGUAAAGGCUCACCAAGCCAACGAUCUGUAGCUGGUCUGAGAGGACGACCAGCCACACUGGGACUGAGACACGGCCCAGACUCCUACGGGAGGCAGCAGUGGGAAUUUUGGACAAUGGGCGCAAGCCUGAUCCAGCAAUGCCGCGUGCAGGAAGAAGGCCUUCGGGUUGUAAACUGCUUUUGUACGGAACGAAACGGUCCUGGUUAAUACCUGGGGCUAAUGACGGUACCGUAAGAAUAAGCACCGGCUAACUACGUGCCAGCCGCCGCUGUAAUAC